rnacentral:siRNA from 1 species
UUUAAGACUUCGGGUUCGGAUCGG